AGCUGUGGCUAGGGGUGAAAGGCCAAUCAAACUCGGAAAUAGCUGGUUCUCCGCGAAAUCUAUUGAGGUAGAUCGUCGGAUGUUUACCCUCGGGGGUAGAGCACUGGAUGGGCUAGGGGGUCCCAAAGACUUACCAAACCCAACCAAACUCCGAAUACCGAGGAGUAUGAGUGCGGCAGACAGACGGCGGGUGCUAAGGUCCGUCGUCGAGAGGGAAACAGCCCAGACCGCCAGCUAAGGUCCCCAAGUACUAGUUAAGUGGGAAACGAUGUGGGAAGGCACAGACAGCCAGGAGGUUGGCUUGGAAACAGCCACCCUUAAAAGAGUGCGUAAUAGUUCACUGGUCGAGUGGUCCGGCGCGGACAAUGUAACGGGGCUCAAGCACUGAGCCGAAGCCGCGGACCUCAGCAUUAGCUGGGGUGGUAGGGGAGCGUCGAACGGGCAGCGAAGCGGGGGUGUAAACCGUCGUGGAGCCCGUUCGAGUGAGAAUGCUGGCAUGAGUAGCGAGAGAGGGGUGAGAAACCCCUCCGCCGUAAACCCAAGGGUUCCUGGGGAAGGCUAAUCCCCCCAGGGUAAGUCGGGAGCUAAGGCGAGGCCGAGAGGCGUAGUCGAUGCACAACAGGUUGAUAUUCCUGUACCACCGUGUCCACGCCCAUUCCAAGAUGGGGGUACUAAGGGGCUGAUCUUCGGAUCGAACUGACCAACCCCGUGGAGGAAAGCGAAGGAGGGACGGAGGAGGAUAGGUGAGCCCAGGCGUUGGUUGUCCUGGGGUAAGUGCGUAGGGCGAGGUGUAGGUAAAUCCGCACCUCAUGAUGCCUGAGACACGAUGCCGAGCCAUUAGGCGAAGUCACUGAUUCCAUGCUCCCAAGAAAAUCUUCUAGCGAGUUGACACGGUGCCCGUACCCCAAACCGACACAGGUGGNNGGGUAGAGAAUACCAAGGCGAUCGGGAGAACUGUGGUUAAGGAACUCGGCAAAAUGCAUCCGUAACUUCGGGAGAAGGAUGGCCUUACUAGCGUGUAGGACUUCGCGUCCGUAGCGUGAGAAGGUCGCAGAGAAUUGUGGGAAGCGACUGUUUACCAAAAACACAGGAGCGUGCUAAGUCGUAAGACGCCGUAUACGCUCUGACGCCUGCCCGGUGCUGGAAGGUUACGGGGACUGGUCAGCUCUUUUGAGCGAAGCUAGGAACCUAAGCCCCAGUAAACGGCGGCCGUAACUAUAACGGUCCUAAGGUAGCGAAAUUCCUUGUCGGGUAAGUUCCGACCUGCACGAAUGGCGUAACGACUUCCCAACUGUCUCAACUAGAGACCCGGCGAAAUUGAAGUACGAGUAAAGAUGCUCGUUAGCUGCAUCAGGACGGAAAGACCCCGUGCACCUUUACUACAACUUGAUGUUGGGUUUUGGUUUAGUUUGUGUAGGAUAGCUGGGAGGCUUUGAAGCAUCGGCGCUAGUCGGUGUGGAGCCAACGUUGAAAUACCAGCCUUUCUACGCCGGAACCCUAACCUUGGUCCGUAAUCCGGAUCAGGAACAGCGUCAGGCGGGUAGUUUGACUGGGGCGGUCGCCUCCUAAAUUGUAACGGAGGCGCCCAAAGGUUCUCUCAGGCUGGUUGGCAAUCAGCUGUUGAGUGCAAUGACACAAGAGAGCUUGACUGCGAGACCUACAAGUCGAGCAGGUACGAAAGUAGGNNGGUACGCCGGGGAUAACAGGCUUAUUUCCCCCAAGAGUCCAUAUCGACGGGGAAGUUUGGCACCUCGAUGUCGGCUCGUCGCAUCCUGGGGCUGAAGCCGGUCCCAAGGGUUGGGCUGUUCGCCCAUUAAAGCGGUACGCGAGCUGGGUUCAGAACGUCGUGAGACAGUUCGGUCCCUAUCCGAUGCAGCCGUAAGUGAAUUGAGAAAGGUUGUCCCUAGUACGAGAGGACCGGGACGAACGCAGCUCUCGUGUGACAGUUGUCCUGCCAAGGGCAUGGCUGUUUAGCGACCUGCGGGUGGGAUAAGCGCUGAAAGCAUCUAAGUGCGAAGCCCGUUUCAAGAUAAAUUCACUCACUGGGUUAACCAGGUAAGGCCCGUGGCGAGAUCACCACGUUGA
rnacentral:rRNA from 1 species